rnacentral:rRNA from 1 species
AUUGAACGCUGGCGGUAUGCUUAACACAUGCAAGUCGAACGGUAGCACGGUCUAGCUUGCUAGAUGGGUGACAAGUGGCGAACGGGUGAGUAACGCGUAGGAAUAUGCCUUGAAGAGGGGGACAACUUGGGGAGACUCAAGCUAAUACCGCAUAAUAUCUUCGGAUGAAGGUUGGGGACCUUCGGGCCUGACGCUUUAAGAUUAGCCUGCGUACGAUUAGCUAGUUGGUAGGGUAAAGGCCUACCAAGGCGACGAUCGUUAGCUGGUCUGAGAGGAUGACCAGCCACACUGGAACUGAGACACGGUCCAGACUCCUACGGGAGGCAGCAGUGGGGAAUAUUGGACAAUGGGGGCAACCCUGAUCCAGCAAUACCGCGUGUGUGAAGAAGGCCUGAGGGUUGUAAAGCACUUUCAGUGGGGAGGAGGAUUGAUUGGUUAAGAGCUGAUUGAUUGGACGUUACCCACAGAAGAAGCACCGGCUAACUCCGUGCCAGCCGCCGCAGUAA